AACGAACGCUGGCGGCAGGCUUAACACAUGCAAGUCGGGCGCCCCGAAAGGGGAGCGGCAGACGGGUGAGUAACGCGUGGGAAUGUGCCCUUUGGUCUGGAAUAACUCAGGGAAACUUGAGCUAAUACCGGAUAAGCCCUUCGGGGGAAAGAUUUAUUGCCAUUGGAGCAGCCCGCGUCAGAUUAGCUAGUUGGUGAGGUAAAAGCUCACCAAGGCGAUGAUCUGUAGCUGGUCUGAGAGGACGACCAGCCACACUGGGACUGAGACACGGCCCAGACUCCUACGGGAGGCAGCAGUGGGGAAUAUUGGACAAUGGGGGCAACCCUGAUCCAGCCAUGCCGCGUGAGUGAUGGAGGCCUUAGGGUUGUAAAGCUCUUUUACUCGGGAAGAUAAUGACUGUACCGAGAGAAUAAGCCCCGGCUAACUUCGUGCCAGCCGCCGCAGUAA
rnacentral:rRNA from 1 species